rnacentral:rRNA from 1 species
GACGAACGCUGGCGGCGUGCUUAAUACAUGCAAGUCGAACGGAAAGGCCUGUGUUGGGGGGUCCUCGAGAGGCGAACGGGUGUGUAAAACGUGUGUAAACUGUCCUUGAUAUCGGGAUAAAACCAGGAAAAUGGGGCUCAAACAGGGCAGGAGCGUCUGCUGCAUGGUAGGGGUUGGUAAGAUUCGGCAGUUGGGGAUAGACUCGCGGAUUAUCAGCUUGUUGGUGGGGUAGUGGCUUACCAAGUCACUGACGGGUAGCCGACAUGGGAGGGUGACCGGCGACAUUGGGACUGAGAUACGGACCAGACUCCUACGGGAGGCAACGGUGGGAAAUCUUGCACAACGAGUCGAAGCCAGAUGCAACAACUCCGUGAGCGGGAUGACGUCCUUCGGGUUGAGAACCGCUUUCGCUCAUGACAGAGCUUUGUGUGACGGUAGUGGAUAAGAAAGCAACGGCUAACUACGUG